rnacentral:rRNA from 1 species
ACGGAAGGCAGCAGUGGGGAAUAUUGGACAAUGGGGGAAACCCUGAUGCAGCGACGCCGCGUGAGUGAAGAAGUAUUUCGGUAUGUAAAGCUCUAUCAGCAGGGAAGAUUAUGACGGUACCUGACUAAGAAGCCCCGGCUAACUACGUGCCAGCAGCCGCGGUAAUACGUAGGGGGCAAGCGUUAUCCGGAUUUACUGGGUGUAAAGGGAGCGUAGACGGCAGUGCAAGUCUGAAGUGAAAGCUCGCAGCUCAACUGCGGAACUGCUUUGGAAACUGUACGGCUAGAGUACCGGAGGGGUAAGCGGAAUUCCUAGUGUAGCGGUGAAAUGCGUAGAUAUUAGGAGGAACGCCAGUGGCGAAGGCGGCUUACUGGACGAUAACUGACGCUGAGGCUCGAAAGCGUGGGGAGCAAACAGGAUUAGAUACCCUGGUA